rnacentral:rRNA from 1 species
UGGUGGAGUGAUUUGUCUGGUUAAUUCCGAUAACGAACGAGACCUUAACCUGCUAAAUAGACUCGGGGCCUUAGGGAACCGGCUGUCUUCUUAGAGGGACUAUAGGCGUUUAGCCUAUGGAAGUUUGAGGCAAUAACA